UGUUUCCUCCUCCGGGGUUUCGACGGGCCCAGCUCUUUGUCAUGGCCUCAGAAGCUGCGUGGCUACGGAGACCUAGAAGCUUGGAGGAUCUCGUGAGACACUGACCUGUGGCAUCUGUCUGGGCCUUAGUGUAACCCUGUCACAUGAGUGGCCUCAUGAAGGAGACUAGACUAUUCAUGGGCUUGGGAGGCUCGUUGACUUACCAGGAAUCCAGUGGGUCCAGGAUGAUCCAGGAGGGGAGGCUUCCUGAGGCGUUUCAGCUCCGGACGUCAGCCCUUUUGUGCCCUCGAGGGUCAGGACAGUACGCGUGUUAUCCCGGGAUCGGUUCCUGCAUCCACCGUCUUUCUGGCUCCAAACAGCCGGGCGCCUGACCUGCUGGCCAUCGCCCUCUCCCUGCUCAGGGCAGCUCCGUCCUUACCUCCCGGAACAGUCAGAGCACCUCCCUUUGCCCUUUCCCCUUCCCGCGGCUGCUGACCACAUUCCAGGUCUGUAGCAGCCACCAUGUCAGCCCGAGGACGGGGGCCACACACCGAGGACCACGGCAGAAGGCUGACCCUGGAUGACCUCACGGACCUGCCAACACAGCCCGCGACUACGAACUUCUGGUCUCCAGGAAGUGAAGAUCAAGCUCGUGGGUCCGUGUUAACCGAAGCCAGACUUACAGAUGGGGACCCUCAGUGGCACCCACCCGUUUUCCUGUUCUCACCCAGACCACGGCACAGGGCCACUGCUCUCAUAAAGAACAGAAAUCACACAACUCGGAUCUCUGGUAGGACUCUGCGCACAGCAAAAUGGAUCUGUUGGUGCCGUCGUUCUUGGAAUUACUGAAUUUUGAGUGUUGUUGCCGUGGAGGUGGGGUGGGUGGGGUGGAGCUGGGCUUCCAUAAAUGCACAGAAGGAUCUUUGUUUAAAUGUUCAAUUUAGUUUUGAGAGGGCAUGCACGGGGGAAAGGCAGAGAGAGAGGGAGACACAGAAUCCGAAGCAGGCUCCAGGCUCUGGGCUGUCUGCACAGAGCCCGACGUGGGGCUUGAACUCACGAACAACAAGAUCAUGACCUGAGCUGAAGUCGGAUGUUUCACCGACUGAGCCACCCAGGGGCCCCCAUCACUGUACGUUUUAAACAAAAGAUGUGUAAUACAGACUUACCUCUGAGUCAUUAUACGUUUUGGAGAGUAGAUGUUUUCAUAACCAGUACGACUCUUACCCCUUUCCUUCCGUGGGGAGAUCAUCAUGCCAGUGUUCCAUGGAACAAUAUCCGCACAGAAGGGGCUCCUGCUGUCCUGGUCCCAUGUCCAACUCGAGACCACAAGUAAAAGAGAUGUCACGAAUUCACGUAUAUGUCUGUUUUUGACAAUAUACUUUUCCUCGCAUGUGUGUGCCUUCCAGAAUAACCGUAUAAAUCAUUUCUUCUUUCGGUUUUCAUAGUUUUUAAUUUUUAAAACAUUUCUCGAGAUUUUAGUGAACAUACCAUAAAAUUCACCCACUUACGUGUACAGUUCAGUGGUUUUUAGUACAUUCACGGAGCUGUGCACCAGCA